rnacentral:rRNA from 1 species
AGUGGCGGACGGGUGAGUAACGCGUAGGAAUCUGCCUCAUAGUGGGGGACAACGUGGGGAAACCCACGCUAAUACCGCAUACGCCCUACGGGGGAAAGCGGGGGAUCUUCGGACCUCGCGCUAUGAGAUGAGCCUGCGUUAGAUUAGCUAGUUGGUAGGGUAAAGGCCUACCAAGGCGACGAUCUAUAGCUGGUCUGAGAGGACGAUCAGCCACACUGGGACUGAGACACGGCCCAGACUCCUACGGGAGGCAGCAGUGGGGAAUAUUGGACAAUGGGCGAAAGCCUGAUCCAGCAAUACCGCGUGUGUGAAGAAGGCCUUCGGGUUGUAAAGCACUUUCAAUUGGGAGGAAAACCUGCCGGUCAAUACCCGGUAGCUUGACAUUACCUUUAGAAGAAGCACCGGCUAACUCCGUGCCAGCAGCCGCGGUAAUACGGAGGGUGCGAGCGUUAAUCGGAAUUACUGGGCGUAAAGCGUGCGUAGGCGGUUCGUUAAGUCAGAUGUGAAAGCCCCGGGCUCAACCUGGGAACUGCAUUUGAAACUGGCGGACUAGAGUUUAGUAGAGGGGAGUGGAAUUUCAGGUGUAGCGGUGAAAUGCGUAGAUAU